rnacentral:rRNA from 1 species
UACGUAGGGGGGCAAGCGUUGUCCGGAAUCAUUGGGCGUAAAGCGCGUGUAGGCGGUUCGAUAAGUCUGCUGUGAAAGUCCAGGGCUCAACCCUGGGAUGCCGGUGGAUACUGUCGGGCUAGAGUACGGAAGAGGCGAGUGGAAUUCCCGGUGUAGCGGUGAAAUGCGCAGAUAUCGGGAGGAACACCAAUUGCGAAGGCAGCUCGCUGGGACGUCACUGACGCUGAGACGCGAAAGCGUGGGGAGCAAACAGG